GCGUCAGUGGUUUAGUGGCAAAAUCCAUCGUUGCCAACUUGCCAUCGAUGGGCCCCGCGUUCGAUUCGCGGCUGACGCA